GGGUCAGUAGCUCAGUUGGUAGAGCGGUAGCCUUUUAAGCUAAAGGUCCCGGGUUCGAUCCCCGGCUGACCCACCA
rnacentral:tRNA from 1 species